AAUCUGCCUUGUACAGGAGGAUANCCUUUAGAAAUGAAGAUUANUACUCCAUAAUGCUGAGAGAUGGNNUCAUUUUUUAGUUAAAGAUUUAUCGGUACAAGAUGACUAUGCGUCCUAUUANCUAGAUGGNAAGGUAACGGCUUACCAUGGCAACGAUAGGUAGGGGGUCUGAGAGGAUUAUCCCCCACACUGGUACUGAGACACGGACCAGACUCCUACGGGAGGCAGCAGUGAGGAAUAUUGGUCAAUGGGCGCAAGCCUGAACCAGCCAUGCCGCGUGCAGGAUGACUGCCCUAUGGGUUGUAAACUGCUUUUAUACAGGAAGAAACAGUCCCUCGUGAGGGGCCUUGACGGUACUGUAAGAAUAAGCACCGGCUAACUCCGUGCCAGCAGCCGCGGUAAUACGGAGGGUGCAAGCGUUAUCCGGAAUCAUUGGNUUUAAAGGGUCCGCANGCGGUCAAUUAAGUCANANGUGAAAUCCUACAGCUUANCUGUNAGAACUGCCUUUGAUACUGGUUGACNUUGAGUUAUACGGAAGUAGGUANAAUGNGUAGUGNAGCGNNGAAAUGCAUAGAUAUUACACAGAAUACCGAUUGCGAAGGCNGCCUA
rnacentral:rRNA from 1 species